AAUCCAUUUGUAUAUAGUAUGCCACAUUUAAAAUAUUUUUUGAGGGAAAUAUAUUAUGGGGCUUUGGUAUGCAGGUGAAUUGUGAAUUGGUCACUUAACGGGUGAAUUCAUGUAACUAUGCAUCGAAACACUUAUGUGUAAUGUAAUAGAAGAAAAUAGACAAAAUCAAUGGUGGUUGAGCCUGAGCUUAAUGAUAUUUUUCCUAGUGUAUGAUAUAAGCAGUUAAUGUGAGAUUUUGCUGUUCCAUUUUUAGUAUGGUAGGUAUCAACGGAAACUACUUGUUGAGGACUUGGAUAAGAAAUGGCAACGAAUCAUACUGAACACAUCGCCGAUCACUCCGUUGGAGCAUUGCGAGUGGCUGAAUAAGCUCUUGACUGAAAUCUGGUCCAGCCAUUAUAACCCAAAGCUUUCAAUAAGGUUAUCGGCGAUAGUUGAGAAACGUUUAAAGCUCCGGAAGCCAAGACUUAUAGAAAGAGUCGAGCUGCAGGAGUUUUCAUUGGGUUCAUGCCCUCCUAGUGUGGGUCUUCAAGGGAUGCGAUGGUCAACUAUCGGUGAUAAGGUUUUACUUCCUUCAA